GAUGAACGCUGGCGGCGUGCCUAAUACAUGCAAGUCGAGCGAACAGAUAAGGGGCUUGCUCCUUUGACGUUAGCGGCGGACGGGUGAGUAACACGUGGGUAACCUACCUAUAAGACUGGAAUAACUCCGGGAAACCGGGGCUAAUGCAGGAUAACAUGUUGAACCGCAUGGUUCUACAGUGAAAGGCGGCUUUGCUGUCACUUAUAGAUGGACCCGCGCCGUAUUAGCUAGUUGGUGAGGUAACGGCUCACCAAGGCAACGAUACGUAGCCGACCUGAGAGGGUGAUCGGCCACACUGGAACUGAGACACGGUCCAGACUCCUACGGGAGGCAGCAGUAGGGAAUCUUCCGCAAUGGGCGAAGGCCUGACGGAGCAACGCCGCGUGAGUGAUGAAGGUCUUCGGAUCGUAAAACUCUGUUAUUAGGGAAGAACAAAUGCGUAAGUAACUGUGCGCGUCUUGACGGUACCUAAUCAGAAAGCCACGGCUAACUACGUG
rnacentral:rRNA from 1 species